GGAUGAAAAGCAGGCCUCAGGAGUCAAUUAUCGGGAUGUUUUAGGACAAUGAAUCAGAGGACACUGGUAAUAAACACCACAGGAUAUGUGCUGUCUGGGUGUUAUGUCAGCUUCUGCAAGCAAUACCAAACACUUCCUGGAUAUGCGGCUACUCUGCGCUUCCAGUUUCUCUCAGAAAAAGACUUGCUAAGAAAUUCCCUGGAAUCUGGGCCCCAGAGAGGUUGACAGGGUAGAGAGGAGGAGGGUAAGGGGAUAUAAGGUGCUCACACCAAAGCCAUGUGACCAAUGCAAAGGUAGUCAGGAAAAAAAGCAGAUUUUUAUAAUAAAUAAACCAUCCAAGCUGCAUUAGUGUUCCAGAUAUGUACUCAACAAGACCCUCUCCCAACCACAAACCAGCAAGAAUGGGACAUGAAAACUCAUUCAGACAGCUAAUGGCACAGUCUCUUUGAACUGUGGAGAGGAUUUUCCGCUGAUUUAAGGCCCACCUUUCUUUGUGUUUCCUACAUAUAUGCAAGGAUCAUGCCCCCCACCCCACCACAAAACCCUUAGGGAAUAGAGGAUACACCGGAGAAACGACCGGUCGUAUCCUCCCUGCAACAAAAAAAGCUUCCUGAUAAGUGGUAUUUUUGCACAGGCGUGAAAGUAAGCGGGAACUUUCAGAGUCAGGAACGAACGUUUCCCCAUCCUCUUACUUCACUGAACUCAAGUCCCAGGGACUUGCAUUCCUUUGGUAGAAACUGUGGUCUGUGCUAUGGCCUUCAGACCAACAUAGUUGGCACCAGCACCUCCUCUUCCACUUCUUCCCUACCUCCCUGAAGCUCACCCAGCUAUACCUUUUACGGCUCUGAAGCUAUUACUCUGGGCCAUUUCCGUUUCUGAGGAUUAUUCCUAGCCCUAAAAGUCUCCUGCACAGCCUGAAGUCAUAGAGCAAAAAUACUCAGAUUUAUCCAUACUGGUGGGAUGAGGGUGGGACCUGUUGGAUUAGCAAUCCCCUGACAUUGCCAUUCUAUUUACACAUCAAACAAAAGAAAACAAAUUAAAAUCAAGUUAAGAGUCUGCCCCAAGGAUAACACAAAUUACCAACCAACCAAUAAAAGAAAAAAAAAAGAUUAAAAACAAGCAGCAACUUUUAUAUAAAAUUAAUAAAAACAAGAGACAAAUGAAAAAGAAAUUGUCAGUAGCAUCUAUCGCCUCUCUGCAUCUGAACUGCACUUAUACAAACUAGUCCAUUAGUACAGCAGCUUGCUAGAAAUUGACUUUGGUUCAAGCUUAGUUUUAAAAAAAUAAAACAUAAAAAAAUCAAAAACACAUUAGAAACGGUGGACGGACAUUUGUUAGUUUCCCUGCUUGCAGUUCACUAGUUUUGAAGUUUUAGGGAUAAUUGGUUUAAAUAUUCAGUAAAACAGGAAGGUGGAGAGUUAGAGUUGAACAGAGCAAAACCAUGGUGGUGGGGGGAAAGGUAAGGGGUUCUGCCACUUGAGUGCAAACACAAAUCUCACAUGCUCAGGUCACAAACCAAAGCAUAUGUAAAGUUUAAAGUUGCUGCCUUCCGGAUCUUGGAUGAGAAGCUCCAGGAUCCCCCUGAAUCAUCAACAAAAUGAACAUAGCUGCAUCAGCUCAUUAUUUUAGGACACUCUGGUGACAAAAGAAAAGGGGGUGGGGGAAAGGGACUCUUCUAAUACCCCUGCUAGCUAAAAGUAGUUUAGUUUUAUACACAUGGCAGAAACCUUUAAAUCUUAAACCUUCAAUCCAUCAGGAAUGGAAAGUUCAAAGUGAACUGCAUUGCAGUGAUCCAGUCUUCUCUUUUUAAAAAUCUUUUUUUUUGGUUCAGAUACUAGAUAGAUUGUAUAUUUAAGAAUAUACAGAUCUAACUUCGGUACAGUUCAGUACUCUUCCUCAUCCAUGUAAAUGCCGUUUGCUACGUGGAUCAGAA
rnacentral:lncRNA from 1 species